rnacentral:RNase_P_RNA from 1 species
CGAGCCGGCCGGGCGGCCGCGUGCGGGAGAGAUCUCGCCCGAGGAACGUCCGGGCUCCACAGGGCAGGGUGGUUGCUAACGGCAACCCGGGGCGACCCGCGGGACAGUGCCACAGAGAACAAACCGCCGUCUGGCUUCGGCUCAGGCGGUAAGGGUGAAACGGUGGUGUAAGAGACCACCAGCAUUCCGGGUGACCGGGAUGGCUCGGUAAACCCCACCCGGAGCAAGGUCAAGAGGGGCCUUCGGGUCCCUGCGCAGGCGUUCGAGGGCUGCCCGCCCGAGCCUGCGGGUAGACCGCAGGAGCCUGCCGGCGACGGCAGGCCUAGAUGGAUGGUCGCCCAUCGCAGCGCCGCAAGGCGUGCGUUGACAGAACCCGGCGUACAGGCCGACUCGUCCG